rnacentral:ncRNA from 1 species
AUUACGAAGAGUUUGAUCCUGGCUCAGGAUGAACGCUGGCGGCGUGCCUAAUACAUGCAAGUCGAACGGAAACCUUCGGGUUUUAGUGGCGAACGGGUGAGUAACACGUAAGCAACCUACCCUAAAGACGAGGAUAACCAUUGGAAACAGUGGCUAAGACUGGAUAGGAAGAUAAAAGGCAUCUUGUAUCUUUUAAAAGACCUAGUUAAUAGGUAUGCUUUAGGAGGGGCUUGCGCCAUAUUAGUUAGUUGGUAGGGUAAUGGCCUACCAAGACGAUGAUGUGUAGCUGGACUGAGAGGUUGAACAGCCACAUUGGGACUGAGACACGGCCCAAACUCCU